CGCGGGCACAGCACAAGGAGGAGGAGUCGACCAUCUCCUUGAGCCAAAUGCACUCGUCCCUCCUCUCUGCAACAGCCCGUUCCUCUCUUAAACCUUGGCCAAACCCCCGCACCAUCUCUCCACUCGGUCUGUUUUUCCAUACCGUACAGUCUGAACACACCGGCACGAAAUGGAUACGGAAGGGAGCCAGAGCAGCCUGUCCUCCACGGACUCCCCUCAUGACCCCUGCAAAAUGUUCAUAGGCGGUCUCAGCUGGCAGACGACACAAGAGGGAUUGAAAGAGUACUUUUGCAAGUAUGGCGAGGUGAAGGAGUGCAUGGUGAUGCGGGAUCCAGUUACCAAGCGCUCUAGGGGUUUUGGAUUUGUCACGUUUGUUGACCAGGCCGGUGUGGAUUCAGUUUUGGCAGUAACCAGGCAUGAGUUGGAUUCAAAAACAAUUGAUCCGAAAGUUGCAUUCCCUCGUAGAGCCCAGCCCAAGUUAGUGACUCGGACCAAGAAGAUUUUUGUUGGAGGUCUGUCCGUGAACACGACCAUUGAGGAUGUCAAGGCGUAUUUCGAGCAGUUCGGAAAGGUUGAUGAUGCCAUGCUCAUGUUUGACAAGACCACCAACAGACACAGAGGGUUUGGCUUUGUCACGUUUGAGAAUGAGGAUGUGGUGGAGAAAGUGUGUGAGAUGCACUUCCAUGAGAUAAACAGCAAAAUGGUGGAGUGUAAGAAGGCUCAGCCCAAGGAAGUGAUGUCACCCACGGGCUCGGCCAGGGGGCGCACUCGGGUGAUGCCCUACGGCAUGGAUGCCUUCAUGCUGGGCAUCGGCAUGCUGGGCAGGGGGCAGCACUGUUUCACUCAAACACAGACCCAUGACUGUCCUUUCACCAUAGGUUACCCAGGGUUUCAGACAGCUACGUAUACUAGUCGAAGUUACACUGGCAUCACCCCUGGAUAUACCUAUCAAUUCCCUGAAUUCCAUUUAGAGAGGACCCCCCUUCUGACAUCACCACAUCCCCCUGAGCUCACAGCCAUUCCUCUGUCGGCAUACGGACCAAUGGCAGUGGCGGCAGCAGUAGCAAGAGGCUCCGCCCCCUCUCGCUCUGGGGGGUUCGGCAGCCCUGGGCCAAUGGCAGACUUAUAUGCAGCAGCCAAUCAGGAGUCUGCUGUCAGCAGUUACCUCAGCGCUGCAAGCCCCUCCCCAAACACUGGGUUCGGCCAUAGUCUGGGGGUAAGACACAGCCCUUAUCACGUAGGUAUUUUAGACCCUAUUCAUGUUUGGAAAUGCAAAAUGUGUCUGCAUACUAUCUGUUCAGUUUGUCAUAGGAAGACUAUCGAUGCGACAGAGCAGUGCUCCUAAGAUGUUGAUCUUGGCACAUGUUCAUAGAUCCAUCUUGCAAUACUGCCCAAUCCUGUGUUAUGACCGUAUACAUUCAAGGGGUCUGUUAUGAGCAUAGAAUUGUCUGUCAAUGUGUGACUGUCAAGUCAAAGGAACAAGUAAUGUUGCUCUUGGGUAAUAUACUGUCCAUUUUGACAGAUUUUGCUUGCACAUUUGGUGAGGGUUGUAUUAUUGAAUGUGAUAUGAUGUUGGGGAUGUUGAGAGUGUUGGGGAUGUUGAGUGUUGGUGGUUGUGUUCUAAUGACUGGGUGCUCCCUCUAAUCUCUCCUGUGUCUGACUGCUCCCUACAGGGUCCUCUGAUUGCUACGGCCUUCACUAAUGGCUACCACUGAGAGAAGCUGUGAACUGAGAGAUGGAAAGCUUUGAACUGGUCUGACACUCCUCUCUGGCUGUGUGACCCUGCAGGUGCAGUGGGAGCACUGACCCUUGACCCCUGAUGUCCACGCCCCUCCUCCCACUGAGGAUCUCUUUUCUUCUGACUUCCUGUGUUCGUUCUUAACAUCCCCUCCUGUCUAACAUGUUACUGUAGUUAGCAGAAAGGAACAACAACCUUUUAAAAAAUAUAUUUCUGCUUGUAUUAGAAAAACAUGCAGAUAAUUCUAGCUCCUUUUUAAAAUGUUAUUUCAUUUGACUCUUUUGUGGAAAUUGUCAUGUUCUCGUAUGUCUUAAUUAUUUUUUAUAUUUUUUUUCCAUUUGAUUCUUUUGUCAGAAGGUGUUUUUAUUGAGUGGCAGUGAGGGAGAAAAAGUGAUCUCCAGGUACGGAAUAUGUGAAGGACUGGAGCAAGUAUUUGUACUGAAUAAAUGUAUAUUUAUCUUUCAGUACCUACAGAACAUUGCUGAUAAUACCUUUUUUUUUUUGUAUGUGAAAAAUGUAUAUCUUGGUAUGUUUUUAACAAACAUUUGUUAUACUAAUAAUGAUAAAAGUAACAAAAUUGAUAGUCAUGAGCCUAUUUCCAGUCAGAUUUGAACUGCGUGAUAUCUGUUUUUUUGUAAAAUAUUGUAAAUAUAACUGCCUUUUGGAUUCUGCAAAAAAAUGAGGGGUAUUGGGAAGGCAGUGAUGGUAUUUGUUUUCAGCAGAUGUUUUUUAACUUUCAUUCAUACUGUUCGGCGUUGGCCACUCAGACUCAUACAUAUCAUAGUAUCAUAGUGUAUUUGUGUAAUUCCUAAUCUUUAGCUGUCUGAGUUGUGAGACUGGUCCAGGUAUGGUCCAGGUUGCUCCUAUACUGUGAAUUCACGCAGGAACCACUGUUAUCAGCACCGGGAGUGAGAAAGCUUGUGGGGAUAUUCCUCUUUUGAGUAGAGGCCUAAAACUGUUUCUUUCAUCCUUACUUGGAACUUAUUUUAUUGUUGUUUUUAGAAUGAUCAUUUUGAAUAUGUGGUGGUUGUAAAGGAAAAUGAAGGACAAACAUGCAGGAACCAGUCGUAAAAACAGUUUCACAGUGGUACGAUUUCACGGCUAGAUUCUUUCGCAGAUUGUGUUGUGUGACUGCGCGUUUGUGUGUGUGUGUGCAUUGUAUGGCUAUGCGGUCACACUGGAAUUAGGUGUGAAAUGUAUUGGCAGGGAAUGGAUACAUUGGUGGCAAAUGUGAAUUUAUCAUCUUCAUUUUGGUUUGUUAAUGAACGUCCUUGUCUCUGCCGAUGUGUGGAGAGGAUUCGUUCAUUUGUUUCAGUGCUAAAUUAACACUCAGAGGUGGUCCUGAGGCUCUUCCAUGAUGAGAUUGUAUGUAUUUCUCCUCAACCCCCCUUCUCCACACUGACCGAUACGCUGUACAUCUACUGGAUGAGAUAGACUGGAGCCAUGAAACUCAUGAGAAGCUAUAUACUUUUAAAAAAAUGUAACCUUUUUGCAAUGGGAGGUUAGAUAAGGUGUUUUACUUUUGUGGUUAGUUUAAGAACAAGAGGCACUGUCAAUUUCUAUCACCAAGUUGUAGAUGUUGAUAUUUUUCUAAGCCUGCUGAUGGAUUGCCAUGGUGUUGCAGCCUUUGGACUCUGUGUUUACUCUGAAAGGUUCUUGUCAACACUGUAACCCUCUUAAACAUUUUUACAAUUCCUAAUAAAUUAUUUUUAAACAUUCUA